rnacentral:rRNA from 1 species
UACGAAGGGGGCUAGCGUUGCUCGGAAUCACUGGGCGUAAAGCGCACGUAGGCGGCUUUCUAAGUCAGGGGUGAAAUCCUGGAGCUCAACUCCAGAACUGCCUUCGAUACUGGAAGACUUGAGUCCGGGAGAGGCGAGUGGAACUGCGAGUGUAGAGGUGAAAUUCGUAGAUAUUCGCAAGAACACCAGUGGCGAAGGCGGCUCACUGGCCCGGUACUGACGCUGAGGUGCGAAAGCGUGGGGAGCAACAGG